GACGAACGCUGGCGGCGUGCUUAACACAUGCAAGUCGAACGCUGAAGCUCAGCUUUUGUUGGGUGGAUGAGUGGCGAACGGGUGAGUAACACGUGAGUAACCUGCCUCCUUCUUUGGGAUAACGCCCGGAAACGGGUGCUAAUACUGGAUAUUCACUGGUCUUCGCAUGGGGGUUGGUGGAAAGGGUUUUUCUGGUGGGGGAUGGGCUCGCGGCCUAUCAGCUUGUUGGUGGGGUGAUGGCCUACCAAGGCUUUGACGGGUAGCCGGCCUGAGAGGGUGACCGGUCACAUUGGGACUGAGAUACGGCCCAGACUCCUACGGGAGGCAGCAAUGGGGAAUAUUGCACAAUGGGCGCAAGCCUGAUGCAGCGACGCCGCGUGAGGGAUGGAGGCCUUCGGGUUGUGAACCUCUUUCGCUCAUGGUCAAGCCGCAACAAUGGUUGUGGUGAGGGUAGUGGGUAAAGAAGCGCCGGCUAACUACGUG
rnacentral:rRNA from 1 species